AGAGUGAACGCUGGCGGUAGGCCUAACACAUGCAAGUCGAACGGCAGCACAGGAGAGCUUGCUCUCUGGGUGGCGAGUGGCGGACGGGUGAGGAAUACAUCGGAAUCUACCUUUUCGUGGGGGAUAACGUAGGGAAACUUACGCUAAUACCGCAUAAGACCUUCGGGUGAAAGCCGGGGACCUUCGGGCCUGGCGCGGAUAGAUGAGCCGAUGUCGGAUUAGCUUGUUGGCGGGGUAAAAGCCCACCAAGGCGACGAUCCGUGGCUGGUCUGAGAGGAUGAUCAGCCACACUGGAACUGAGACACGGUCCAGACUCCUACGGGAGCAGCAGUGGGAAUAUUGGACAAUGGGCGCAAGCCUGAUCCAGCCAUACCGCGUGGGUGAAGAAGGCCUUCGGGUUGUAAAGCCCUUUUGUUGGAAAGAAAUACCUGCCGGUUAAUAACCAGUAGGAUGACGUACCCAAAGAAUAAGCACCGCUAACUUCGUGCCAGCAGCCGC
rnacentral:rRNA from 1 species